GCCUUGUGGUGUAAUGGUUAGCACACUCGGCGCGUAUUCGAGAGGUCCAGGUUCAAAUCCCGGUGAGGGCA
rnacentral:tRNA from 1 species